AUACGUAGGGAGCGAGCGUUGUCCGGAAUUACUGGGCGUAAAGGGCGCGUAGGCGGCGCUUCAAGUCGUCUGUCAAAUGGGAGGGCUUAACCCUUUUUCGCAGACGAAACUGGAGAGCUUGAGAAGCAGAGAGGCAAACAGAAUUCCUGGUGUAGCGGUGAAAUGCGUAGAUAUCAGGAAGAAUACCAGUGGCGAAGGCGGUUUGCUGGCUGCAUACUGACGCUGAAGCGCGAAAGCCAGGGGAGCAAACGGGAUUAGAUACCCCGGUAGUCCUGGCAGUAAACGAUGUAUGCUGGGUGUGAGACCAGCGAUAGUUUCGUGCCGAAGUUAACGCGAUAAGCAUACCGCCUGGGGAGUACGGUCGCAAGAUUGAAACUCAAAGGAAUUGACGGGG
rnacentral:rRNA from 1 species